AUUGAACGCUGGCGGCAGGCCUAACACAUGCAAGUCGAGCGGAGCGGCGGACGGGUGAGUAAUGCCUAUGAAUCUGCCUGGUCGUGGGGGAUAACGACCGGCAACGGGCGGUAAUAUAGCAUGCUCUCCAUUGAGCGUAGGCCGGAUUAGCUAGCUGGUGGGGUAAAGGCCUACCAAGGCCACGAUCCGUAACUGGUCUGAGAGGGGGAUCAUGCACACUGGAACUGAGACACGGUCCAGACUCCUACGGGAGGCAGCAGUGGGGAAUAUUGGACAAUGGGCGAAAGCCUGAUGCAGCCAUGCCGCGUGUGUGAAGAAGGGCUUCGGAUUGUAAAGCACUUUAAGUUGGGAGGCGUUACCAACAGAAGAAGCACCGGCUAACUUCGUGCCAGCAGCCGCGGUAAUAC
rnacentral:rRNA from 1 species